rnacentral:rRNA from 1 species
UACGUAGGGUGCAAGCGUUGUCCGGAAUUAUUGGGCGUAAAGAGCUCGUAGGCGGUCUGUCACGUCGGCUGUGAAAUCCCGAGGCUCAACCUCGGGUCUGCAGUCGAUACGGGCAAACUAGAGUAUUGCAGGGGAGACUGGAAUUCCUGGUGUAGCGGUGAAAUGCGCAGAUAUCAGGAGGAACACCGGUGGCGAAGGCGGGUCUCUGGGCAAUAACUGACGCUCAGGCGCGAUAGCGUGGGGAUCAAACAGG